UCAGAGGGAGAUCCGACGCCUGCGGAAGCAGCACCUGCUCGCGCACCAGGAGAGGAAGCUGCUCCUGCAGCAUCAGAAGGACGCCCUGUCCAUGCAGAGGUCCACCGCCCUCUCGCAGCAGGAGCCUCGGGCCCAGACCGGGCUGCUCCAGAGUUCCAGCCCCGAAGUCAAGGCCGCCCGGCAGGAGGGCUCUGAGACAAGCUGGCAGCCAGAGGGGCCUGCACGGGGCUCCUUGUGCCCCCCGACACCACAGCACAUCAGCCACCGCCCCUCCGGGAGCCCUGAGG
rnacentral:lncRNA from 1 species